CACUCCUAAAGCCCCAGCCCAUCCCCCUGAGGCCUGACCUCUGAGCCUCAGCACCAGCAGCACCAUGCCCAUGACGCUGGGUUACUGGGACAUCCGCGGGCUGGCCCACGGCAUCCGGUUGCUCCUGGAAUACACGGACACCAGCUAUGAGGAAAAGAGAUACACCAUGGGGGACGCUCCCGACUAUGACCAAAGCCAGUGGCUGAGUGAGAAAUUCAAGCUGGGCCUGGACUUUCCCAAUCUGCCCUACCUAAUUGAUGGGACUCACAAGCUCACGCAGAGCAACGCCAUCCUUCGCUACCUGGCCCGCAAGCACGGCCUGUGUGGGGAGACAGAAGAGGAGAGGAUUCGCGUGGACAUUCUGGAGAACCAGCUGAUGGACACCCGCAUGCUGCUGGCCACACUGUGCUACAGUCCCGACUUUGAGAAGCUGAAGCCUGGGUAUCUGCAGGAACUGCCUGAGAAGUUGCGGCUGCUUUCGCAGUUCCUGGGGAAGCGGCCCUGGUUUGCAGGGGACAAGAUCACCUUUGUGGAUUUCAUCGCUUAUGAUGCCAUUGAGAGGAACCGAGCAUUCGACCCCCGGUGUCUGGACGCAUUCCCCAACCUGAAGGACUUCAUCGCCCGCUUCGAGGGCCUGGAGAAGAUCUCUGCCUACAUGAAGUCCAGCCGCUUCCUGCCGAGACCUGUGUUCAUGAAGAACGCCACGUGGGGCAACAAGUAGGGCCCAGAGAGGCCAGGAGAAGCAAGUGUGGAGUCUGUGCUCAGCCCGCUGCCCCGCCCCCUGCCACCACCUUCUCCUCCCUUCCAAUCCCUUGUCAUCCCAAGGCCAUAUUGAUCCUCCUUCCUCCCACCCCACUGCUGUUCCAAAAAUUCCCUUAAGCACCUCCCCUCUCAUUCAUGCCAGUGCAUUCCCCCUCUUGCAGGCCCUGUGUCCUGCCCACCAGUGGCUGUGUCUGCCCAGAGGACCCAGACUGGAUCCCGGGCCUGGGAGCCUUAGUCCUGAGCUCCUGGAGCCCUGCCCUGAAGGACCAGCAUUGCCUACAGUGCAGGCCCCUCCCCCAGAUUUAUUUAUCUACUUGAAAGGCAAAGUUACAGAGAGAAAGAGAGAGAGGACUUCCAUCCUCUGGUUCACCCUCCAAAUGGCAGCAACAGUUGCAGCUGGGCCAGGAGCUUCUUCAGGGUUUCCCAAGUGGAUGCAGGAGCCCAAGUGCUUGGGACAUUUUCUGCUGCUUUCCCAGUUGCAUUAGCAGGGAGCUGUGUUGGAAGAGGAACUGUGGGGACUCGAACUGGUGCCUGAAAAGGGAGCUGGCAUCACAGGUGGCAGCUAUACCCGCUGCACCCAGCCCCGGGCCCUACUGAUACUGUCUUUUUGUUUUUUAAAUUUUCAAUUAUAUUUAUAUACAGAAGAUCAAUUUAGCAUAUAUUAAGUAAAGAUUUCAACACUCUGCACCCACACAGAAACACAAAGUGUAAAAUACUAU